CUACCCCAUAAUGGAAUAAUCCUGGUUAUCUUGACUUUAUGGGAAAAGUAGUUCACAGACCAGUAAAACAAAAUGAUUUGGCGCUGUGUUAUCUACAUCGUUUUUGUGGGUCUGACCCUCAAAUCCCUACUGAGUCAUAUUAAUUCUGCACAUAGCCAUAGUCCAGAUUUCCGUGAAGAUUGUGGCAUAGAUGGAUGUGUCAAAGAAUAUCGUGUUUACAGCUAAUUUUGGUAUCACAUUCUUCGAACACACUCCGACCACCUUGCCAAUGGACGAUGCAGCGGAUCGAUUAGGACACAAAAAUCUGUAAGUUCUAGGAGGGAACCCUCAUCAGCAGUGAACAGAAAUCUGAGUAACAUGUGGGCAUACAGGACUGAUUCAGUGGUGGAAAGCCAGCCAACAAUGAUAUGAUAUGAGAUUCCAUUCCAUAUUACAGUUUCACACACAAAGAUAUGACAUGUGCGGUCAUGAAAUAUUACCUGGGUGAUGUAAUUGGACUACACGUGAGCUCAACAUAUGUUUUAUAAAAGGUACGCUGCUUUACAUGCAUGAACUGUAUUUUCAGGUUAUUGUUUUGGACAGUUUUGUGACAAUUUUUAAAAUGAAGUUGUUGUUUUCCUAUAAAUUCUGACAGUUGAAUGCGAUUUUAGCAUUGCCAUAGUAUAGAUAUACUGAUGCUGAUCUAUUAUUCUGUUUGACAUGGCCUAAAGUGAAUGAGUUGUGCUGUUUCUGUUUUUCAAAUGGGCCUGUAUUUCAUGUUUACCAUGUGCUUUUAGUUCCUGCCUUUGUUCAUAUACUGCAUAUUGUGUCAAACUUGACAGCAAUUAUAUUAAACUUUAGUGUCAAUAAAUACAUUUCUUAAACUGAGCAGCUGUUUAAAUGCCCUUACUCUUGAAAUGAGAAAAAUAAUCUUAUUUUUAUUCUGGAAAUUCAACCAAACCAUUGUCAUGCCUUGUAACUGGUAAAUAAAGCUCAAGAUGAGCUGAAAUAUCCUUUUAAGGAAAAGUUAGACAUAUUUUCCUAGAAUAAGCUUUAUUUUCUUGUCCAAAACUUGCUUGUUAAGAAUAUAUUUUCUUUUUAGGCAAAAAAUAAGAAAAAAUGUCCAUAAACAAGGUUUUUUUUACUUUCUUGAAAAUUGUUUUUUGCAGUGAAG
ensembl:lncRNA